AGCACUCAACUCUCCUCCAAUGGUUACCCUUCUCCUCCUACUCCCACUACUCAAAACACAUCUUUCCCAGGCAAGCCAGAGGCAGAUGUUGUUGUAAUUGGAAGUGGAAUUGCUGGACUAUGUUGUGCAGGACUUCUAUCUAGAUACCAGCAAGAUGUUUUAGUGUUAGAAAGCCAUAGUUUGCCUGGGGGUGCUGCUCACUCAUUUGA